GAGGGAGCCUGAGAAACGGCUACCACAUCUAAGGUAGGCAGCAGGCGCGCAAAUUACCCAAUCCUAAUACAGGGAGGUAGUGACAAGAAAUAACAAUACAGGACUUUUUGGUUUUGUAAUUGGAAUGAGUUAAGUAUAAACCCCUUUACAAGUAUCAAUUGGAGGGCAAGUCUGGUGCCAGCAGCCGCGGUAAUUCCAGCUCCAAUAGCGUAUAUUAAAGUUGUUGCAGUUAAAAAGCUCGUAGUUGGAU
rnacentral:rRNA from 1 species